CUUCCCCUCCCCGCGCCUCCCGGCCCCCUCCCAGCCUCCCCCUCUGGCUCUCCCCCGUCACCCUCCUCCUGCCCUCCGUCCCCACCCCCUCCCUUUUUCAUCCCCCUUCUGCGGUGGGAAGGUUUGGUGUCAAAUUAAAACCAUUGCAGGGGGAGGGGAAGGAGAGGAUGUCUUCUAUAAAAAAGACCUAAAAUGGUUGACAGCUCCUUAAUUCGCUUUAUCCCAAGUGCAAAGUGAUCUCUCCUGAUGCCUGCCCUGAAAGUGUGGGUCGGGGAGGGGGGCGAGGUUACCGCUCGACAAAGUUUGACGACAAACUCUUCCUCCGCGUACUUUAAAAGGUGGAUUUGGCCCUAGAUCAUCCCCUGAAGAAACCUGAUCCUCUGGGCAAAAGCUUCCUUUCCCUAUACCAUCAUAUAAAAUUUUGUCAAAUAAAUUUCAAGAGCAAAAA